rnacentral:Y_RNA from 1 species
GGCUGGUCCGAUGGUAGUGAGUUAUCAGAACUUACUCACAUUAGUGUCACUAAAGUUGGUAUUCAACCCCCCACUGCUAAAUUUGACUGGCUUUAA